GGUGAAUUUAUCCAGUAGAGGGUGUCGCGUCGCUAUUUAGAUCUUCAUGGUGUUGUGAGGUUUGGUUAUUUGGAAUUCUUUGUUUCUUUAUCAAAAGUAGAAAAAUAAAUAAUAUAAAAUGGCGGAUAGUUCGGGAGAUCAGUCGUGGACCGCCCAAUCAUUUCGACAAAGUAUAAGAGGCAAAAUAGAGGAAGCCAUAAGACAAUCCGGCAAUCCGACAAC